CUACUGGCCCAAGUGGCAUGCAUUUUCCUCCCGGUGAGAUAGAUCCAGAUGCCUGCCUCACCUCCAUUCCUAAGGAUGCGACCUUUGAUGACUGGAAAGUCAUCAAGGAAUUGACCGAAAGGGUGAUGCUUCCUAUAGAGCUGAGGAGACUUGACUGCAUGUCCCUUAGCACUCGGUAGUGAUUCUCCAUGACCGUUGUUUAUCAGGUGCCAUUCUCAUCUUCUAGUCUUUUUUUUGGAUUUCUCUUCUCAUCCCUUUGCUAACCAUCCUUCUCUGUAGGUCCU
rnacentral:lncRNA from 1 species